rnacentral:rRNA from 1 species
AUACCCUAUUAUUUUUAAUGUAAAAUUGAUAAAAGCUUGAGUAUUAAUAGGCAAAUCUUUAAACUCAAAGAAUUUGGCGGUAUUAUAAUCUUUUUAGAGGAAUCUGUUAUAUAAUCGAUAAUCCGCGUUGAAUCUUACUUAUUUAAUUUUUCUUGUAUAUCGCUGUUUUAAUGAAUAUAUUUUAAGAUGGAAUUUUCUGGAUAGUAAGUUUAAACUAAUAUUUCAAGUCAAGGUGCAGUAAUAGAUAAGUUAAUUUAAUGGAUUACAAUAAAUUUUAUUUAUAAGAAAAAUGAAUUAUUAUUUGGGAUUAUAAUAUGAAGGUGAAUUUAAUUGUAAUUUU